rnacentral:lncRNA from 1 species
GGAAUAUGAGAGAGCACAAGUAACGUAUGAAUAGGGAAUGGCGCCUAUGAGACUGACAAUGAACAUUCUCUUUGCUUGCUCACAGGAAGCUAUUAGAUUGUUGCUGCUGUGGGUUGAAUUCUGUUCUCUCCUUCUACCCUCCCUGUCAAAUUCAUAUAUUGAAGUCCUAACCCCCAGCUGCUCAGGAUGAAAUCUCAUUUGGAGACAGAGGUAUUUACAGAGGUAAUCAAAUUAAAAUGAGGGGCGGGUGUGAUGGCUCAUGCCUGUAAUCCCAGCUCUUAGGGAGGCAGAGGUGGGAGAAUAGCUUGAGCCCAGGCAGGUCAAAUGAGGUCCUUAGGGAAGACCCUAAUCUAAUAUCACUGAUAUCCUUACAAAAAGGGGAAGUCUGGAAACAGAGAGCUACAGGGAGAAUGCCAUGUGACCAUGAAGAUGGCCAUCUACAAGCCAUAGAGGGAGGCCUGGAACAUAUCCUGCCUUCGCAGCCCUCAGAAAGAACCAGCCCUACUAACACCUUGAUUCCAGACUUCUAGACUGCAGAACUGGAGUCACCUAAGUGGCAAGUGCAGAAAGGAAGAAGUCCUGGAAGAAGGAAGUGGAGUGGACACUUGCUGAAAGAAAUCUUAACUCUAGUAUCUUCCCAGUGCAGUUCCUAUUUUGGGUUUCAACUCCCCCAGAGGAGUCCUUUUAGUGCAGCUCCUGACUGCCCGAUUCCACCGGACUUCUCUCAGUAGACAGACUGAAGGGCAGAUCAAAGGCUAGAGCCUGCGCUCUGCCACGCCCUUGCUUCUGCCCAGAAGGGAGCCUUCUUCUCAUCACCUCUUGAAGAGCCACCUUUGCUCCCAGGAGAGCACACUUAGCUCGUUUGCUGCCAGGCCCUCCACACACUCUGCACUCUUUAGAGCCACCUGCCAGUUCUCUCCCUUCUGAGACCCUAGUAUUUUGUGGUUAGCGCUACGAAACUGUGUCCCUAAGGCUCCUUGCCAGUCGCCACUGAAGACUUCUCAGCCUAAAGAGCCCUUGGCCAAAGUCCCCACCCACCGCCCCUGCCGCGCGCCAUUGAGCCCCCGCGCCGCAGACCUUGAGGUCCUGCUCCAGGCUGCGCAACAGCUCCCCGUCGAUUUCCCCGGUCUGGGCGUAGCGGAGCCUUUUGCGCUCGGCUUUGCGGAGGCGGUACUGCAGGAUCCGGCAGUUUUUGUUGGCUCUCUCCAACUCGUGGCGCAUUUCCUGCAGUUGACAGGCAUCCUCCUCGAAGAAAGUGUCCCUCAUCUCGUCCAUCUCGGUUCUCAGCUCAUCGAUCUCGUUCUGAGGCGGUGACAGGCCGCGUGUCAAAAUCAAACUCGCUUCCAGCCCUUCCGACACACACCGUACACACCCCAUUCCAAUUCCAAAUUCUCAGCUUUAAUUGCCCUCUCUCUCCACGAGACAGGAGUGACAAGGAGCUGAGUACAGAAGAGGAAACUGGGGGAAAAAGGCCCACUUUAGGCCCUCUCUCGUUCUCUUACUCUACCUCUCUCCAGGAAGAAGUGUGACAAACCAUUAUAAUUAGAGAAACGGA